GAGAAAGUGUGGAAAAAUCAAGGAAAACAAGUGAAAAAGGUGGUGAGCAUUCUGGCAAAAGUAAAGAGAUAAUACCCGAGGAUCAGGAAUUAGAGUACUCGAAAUUCGACUCCCGAAACAGCUUAGAAUAGAUUGUAGAUAACUGAUAUCAUCGAGG
rnacentral:sRNA from 1 species